AUACUCGUAGUUUAUAAAAAGUAAAAUAUUGAGUUGUGGAAUCAGAGAAGAUAAUUGAUCCGGGUAUU
rnacentral:tRNA from 1 species